UAAGGAGUAUUGGUCAAUGGGCGCAAGCCUGAACCAGCCAUGCCGCGUGCAGGAAGACGGCCCUAUGGGUUGUAAACUGCUUUUAUUAGGGAAUAAACCCCCGCUCGUGAGCGGGGCUGAAGGUACCUGAAGAAUAAGCAUCGGCUAACUCCGUGCCAGCAGCCGCGGUAAUACGGAGGAUGCAAGCGUUAUCCGGAUUCAUUGGGUUUAAAGGGUGCGCAGGCGGAUUGGUAAGUCAGGGGUGAAAUCCCACAGCUCAACUGUGGAACUGCCUUUGAUACUGUCAGUCUAGAGUAUAGUUGAAGUGGGCGGAAUGUGUCAUGUAGCGGUGAAAUGCUUAGAUAUGACACAGAACACCGAUCGCGAAGGCAGCUCGCUAAGCUAUAACUGACGCUCAUGCACGAAAGCGUGGGGAUCAAACAG
rnacentral:rRNA from 1 species